rnacentral:rRNA from 1 species
AUUGAACGCUGGCGGCAUGCUUUACACAUGCAAGUCGAACGGCAGCACGGACUUCGGUCUGGUGGCGAGUGGCGAACGGGUGAGUAAUACAUCGGAACGUACCCAGUAAUGGGGGAUAACUAUCCGAAAGGAUAGCUAAUACCGCAUACGCCCUACGGGGGAAAGAGGGGGAUCGCAAGACCUCUUGUUAUUGGAGCGGCCGAUGGCUGAUUAGCUAGUUGGUAGGGUAAAGGCCUACCAAGGCAACGAUCAGUAGCGGGUCUUAGAGGACGACCCGCCACACUGGAACUGAGACACGGUCCAGACUCCUACGGGAGGCAGCAGUGGGGAAUCUUGGACAAUGGGCGCAAGCCUGAUCCAGCAAUGCCGCGUGCGUGAAGAAGGCCUUCGGGUUGUAAAGCGCUUUUGUCAGGGAGCAAAUCCUUGUGGCUAAUACCCACCGGGGAUGAGAGUACCUGAAGAAUAAGGACCGGCUAACUACGUGCCAGCCGCCGCGGUAAUAC